GCGGGGGAGAGGGAGAUCCCAACAGCUACCCAGAAAUAAAGCUUGCUUCGCUGAGGUCUCCUGGUCAUUCUUGCUGGUGAGAGCGACAAGGAAAGCCAUGAA